CCUACGGGAGGCAGCAGUGAGGAAUCUUGGUCAAUGGACGAGAGUCUGAACCAGCCAAGUAGCGUGAAGGAUGACUGCCCUAUGGGUUGUAAACUUCUUUUAUAUGGGAAUAAAAUGUUCCACGUGUGGGAUUUUGUAUGUACCAUAUGAAUAAGGAUCGGCUAACUCCGUGCCAGCAGCCGCGGUAAUACGGAGGAUCCGAGCGUUAUCCGGAUUUAUUGGGUUUAAAGGGAGCGUAGGUGGAUUGUUAAGUCAGUUGUGAAAGUUUGCGGCUCAACCGUAAAAUUGCAGUUGAAACUGGCAGUCUUGAGUACAGUAGAGGUGGGCGGAAUUCGGGGUGUAGCGGUGAAAUGCUUAGAUAUCACGAAGAACUCCGAUUGCGAAGGCAGUUCACUGGACUGCAACUGACACUGAGGCUCGAAAGUGUGGGUAUCAAACAGGAUUAGAUACCCCGGUAGUC
rnacentral:rRNA from 1 species